GAUGAAGAACGCAGCGAAAUGCGAUACUUGGUGUGAAUUGCAGAAUCCCGUGAACCAUCGAGUCUUUGAACGCAAGUUGCGCCCGAAGCCAUUAGGCCGAGGGCACGCCUGCCUGGGCGUCACACGUCGUUGCCCCCCCAUCUACUCCUUCGGGAUUGCGGGGGGCGGAUGAUGGCCUCCCGUGCGCCUCGUCGUGCGGUUGGCAUAAAUGCCAAGUCCUCGGCGACGCACGCCACGACAAUCGGUGGUUGCGAAACCUCGGUUGCCCGUCGUGUGCGGUCGUCGCGCAUCGAGGGCUCGAAAAAAUGCUCGGCUCCGGCUGGGCUUUCAACGCGACCCCAGGUCAGGCGGGGUUACCCGCUGAAUUUAAGCAUAUCAAUAAGCGGAGGA
rnacentral:misc_RNA from 1 species